rnacentral:rRNA from 1 species
AACGAACGCUGGCGGCAGGCUUAACACAUGCAAGUCGAACGCGUGUAGCAAUACACGAGUGGCGCACGGGUGAGUAACGCGUGGAUAUCUGCCUUUUGGUUCGGAAUAACCCCGGGAAACUGGGGCUAAUACCGGAUGGUUCCUUCGGGAUAAAGAUUUAUCGCCAAAAGAUGAGUCCGCGUACGAUUAGCUAGUUGGUGAGGUAAUGGCUCACCAAGGCGACGAUCGUUAGCUGGUCUGAGAGGACGAUCAGCCACACUGGGACUGAGACACGGCCCAGACUCCUACGGGAGGCAGCAGUGGGGAAUAUUGGACAAUGGGGGCAACCCUGAUCCAGCCAUGCCGCGUGAGUGAUGAAGGCCUUCGGGUUGUAAAGCUCUUUUGGCGGGGACGAUGAUGACGGUACCCGCAGAAUAAGCCCCGGCUAACUUCGUGCCAGCAGCCGCGGUAAGACGAAGGGGGCUAGCGUUGUUCGGAAUUACUGGGCGUAAAGCGAGUGUAGGUGGUUGUCCAAGUUGGAUGUGAAAGCCUUGAGCUCAACUCAAGAAAUGCAUUCAGGACUGGA